UAUUGGUGCGGUUCAAUGAGA
rnacentral:miRNA from 2 species